rnacentral:lncRNA from 1 species
UUCACUACAGACAAAACCUUAUCCGGUCAUUUGAGGGACCACAUCAAUUUGGAGGACCACCAACUCUGAGAAAAAUCCUGCUACCUAACGGAAUGAUUCUCCCAAAAAUUUGCCAAGCUCAUGAAAGAGGAAUGAGAAACCUCGUACAUCCAAAGCUCUAUAUAAGGACCCUCCAUCGUUAGGGUAGAAAAACCUAAUCCUGGCGCCGUUACUCUGCAAAAAUAGAAUCAAAACAUCACUAAAGCUCUAAUUUUUCUUUUGGAGUUUGUUGAAAUUUCAUAUUGAAACUCAGCAAACUCGAGCUAAAGCCACAGAAUACCCUAAAACCGUUACUACCGCCAUAGCAGCGACGUAAGAAGGAAAGAGAAGGAGAAGAAGCGAAGGAGACGGAAAGAAUUGAAAUUUCAUAUUGAAACUCAGCAAACUCGAGCUAAAGCCACAGAAUACCCUAAAACCGUUACUACCGCCAUAGCAGCGACGUAAGAAGGAAAGAGAAGGAGAAGAAGCGAAGGAGACGGAAAGAUCAGAAGGAAGAAGAG